UACAGAGGGGGCGAGCGUUGUUCGGAAUCACUGGGCGUAAAGGGUGCGUAGGCGGGUCUUUAAGUCAGAGGUGAAAUCCUGGAGCUCAACUCCAGAACUGCCUUUGAUACUGAAGAUCUUGAGUUCGGGAGAGGUGAGUGGAACUGCGAGUGUAGAGGUGAAAUUCGUAGAUAUUCGCAAGAACACCAGUGGCGAAGGCGGCUCACUGGCCCGAUACUGACGCUGAGGCACGAAAGCGUGGGGAGCAAACAGG
rnacentral:rRNA from 1 species